CUAUUAAUUCAUUCAUUCUCAGGGAUUUGUUGCAUGUUAACUAUACAGAUGUGGAGUUAGGUGUAAUGUCCUGAGGAUUCAUGGUCUGUUGGCGGAGAUGGCCAAGAAAAAGGUAAUCUGGAAAAUGCUAAUUAAACCACAAGGGAGAGACGGUUUUGCACCCACGAGAUCAGCAACAUUAGAAUGUCUGACAAUCCCGAACAUUGAUGAUGUGCAGUCUCAUGGUGGCGUAUUCACAUGUGAACACAGGAAGGUCGUGUCUUGAAGUCGACGUUGCAGUACCUUGGACUGUGACUGUACAUGGAGAGAGCUUUAGUAAAGAGGUGGUUAAUUCUGGUGAGGUUAUCUGAGUGGGCCCUAGUCCACUCUGACGGGUGUCCUUAGAAGAAGAGAAGAUCAGGAGGGAAGACCACGUGAGGACACACGAGGAAAUGGCCACCCACAUGCCGGUGACAGAGGCCCUGCUGCCGCCUUCGCCUUGGACCUCCGAUUUCCAGGGUUGGGAGAAAAUCAAUUUCUGCCGUUUAAGCCACUCCGUCUGUGGUGCUCUGCUACGGCAGCCAGAGAAAACCUAAACAAUGUGCCCAGUGAAUGGAUGUCAAAAGUAUAAUGUCAGAUGAAAUUGCGGGUCACCCGACACUUAUGGUGUGCUUGUGUUUAGGUAAAGAUGAGAAGAAACGUAUGGUUUAGGUCUACACACACAUAUUCAGCCGAUUCUCACAUUGUUACUCUCCUUUCAGAAGAUGGAGGUAAUUUCCCCUCCCCUCGGAUGUAGGUGGACUUAAUGACUGAUUCGUAAGCAAUUAAAUAGAGGGUACCCGAUGGUGUGACCUCCAAGCCUGGGUCACGAAGGACGGUGUGGCUUCCUCCUUGCUCUCUCUUGGGUCAUUUGCCUGGAAAGAAGCCAGGUGCUAUCAUCUGACGACAUUGAAGUAGCCCAAGACAGAAAUUCUAUUGCAACAACCUGAUGCCUCUUUUGCCAGUAGCCAGCAAGGAACUGAGGCCUCCUGCCAACAAAGUGCCCCAUUUUGGAACUCUGUCACCACCCUGUCACGCCUUCAGGUGACUUAGCCUCAGCCAGAGCCUCAAACAUAACCUCAUGAGAGAUUUGGAUAAAGAGUUACCCAGAAGGGCCGCUCACACUUUCCUCACCCCAGAACCCAAGGAAUAAUAAAUGUUCAGACUCAAGAGGUCACCUUCAUGCCAGGGAAGAACUGAGUCAGACUGUGGAGAUCAGGUAGCAAUUUUGAGCACCAGGCCGGCAGGAGGAUUGCUGAGCUGCACCGAGUGUCCAGUUGGGUGCGAAGACCACAGCCGUGGACUAGCAGCUGCCUGUCAAGUGGAGGACUUCCCUUCUGCCCUGCCUUGAGCCCCAGGUUGGCACACAGAGAACCCAAAGGAUCAAAUCCUGCUCAAGUGUCAGGUCUUGUGUGAAGUUCCCAAGGUGCGUCCCCCAUGUCUACCUCCAGUUGGGAGGAUAUUUCCUUCUCUUGAGCUUUUGCCAAAAUAAGCACAAUGACAAUUGCUAACACCUGUGAUGCUUCGCCUGUAUCAGGGGCACUGUCGUAGUGGUCCUCCGUAUUACUUUAUGUGUAACUUCAUUCAUUCUUCACCUCCUGCCUGCAGAGCAAGCGCUCCUGUGAUCCCUAUUUUGUGAAAGAGGCCACCCCGUGGUCAUAGUGGGGACCAGGAUCUGUUCCGCUCUGUGGCAUCUGGGAACACCAUCACUCCACGUGGCCUCCUACAGACCUGGCCUCCUUUGCAUUAGGUGGUGAUGAUGACUUUACAUGCUCGAGGUCCUGCCAGACUGUGAGCUGUCAGAAGCUCUAGAUCUGUCUUAACUGUGUCUUGGCACCAGCUCAAUAUAAUGCAUGAUUGAAUGAGUGUUGGGUGACGCUGUGGGAUUUUCUGUUGGUCAAAAUUCUGUGUCCCCUACCACCUUGGGUCCCUUUCCAGUUUCGCAGACACCUGUACCCA